rnacentral:rRNA from 1 species
UACCAAGAUGGCUGCAAGUGCAUCGCUUUGUGCUGUGGUCUCACAAGCUAAGCAGCCUUGGGCUGGAUCAACACUUGGAUGGGAAACCUCUAAGGAAUAUGUGUC